rnacentral:rRNA from 1 species
CCUACGGGGGGCAGCAGUGAGGAAUAUUGGUCAAUGGACGAGAGUCUGAACCAGCCAAGUAGCGUGAGGGAUGACUGCCCUAUGGGUUGUAAACUUCUUUUAUAUGGGAAUAAAAUGUUCCACGUGUGGGAUUUUGUAUGUACCAUAUGAAUAAGGAUCGGCUAACUCCGUGCCAGCAGCCGCGGUAAUACGGAGGAUCCGAGCGUUAUCCGGAUUUAUUGGGUUUAAAGGGAGCGUAGGUGGAUUGUUAAGUCAGUUGUGAAAGUUUGCGGCUCAACCGUAAAAUUGCAGUUGAAACUGGCAGGCUUGAGUACAGUAGAGGUGGGCAGAAUUCGUGGUGUAGCGGUGAAAUGCUUAGAUAUCACGAAGAACUCCGAUUGCGAAGGCAGCUCACUGGACUGCGACUGACACUGAGGCUCGAAAGUGUGGGUAUCAAACAGGAUUAGAUACCCUUGUAGUC